rnacentral:lncRNA from 1 species
AGUGAAAGAACUCAGAUGAUUCAUUUCUUCUGUAGUUUUUGUGAUAAUCAACGGGUCCUAACAUGCAAACGUUCGUUCUAUGAAAGCCUCUCUACAGGAGGAUCUGUGCAGAGUGAAAAAAUAGAAAGUCUGUGAAGUUUUUGUGUUACUUUUGUCACCCAAGUGCAAUUCCUCAAAAAGCUGAAAUUAAUUAAAACGACAGGGCCCUUGUCUGCAAAUGGCUGCAGCUAUUCAAAGGUAUGUGUGAUGGGUUCCAUACCUGGGGGUGACAUCCAGAUGCCGACCCCAGGGCCUACGGAUGGGACCUCACUCUGCAGAUUAUCACAUCAAGAUGAGAUCCCGUGGGUGGGCUCCAACCCCGGGAAACCGCGUCCUUUUAAGACACAUAGAGAGAUGUUGCUGCCCGGUUUUGACGUCAACACAUCACUUAGUCCUGCAGAAGCACACCUGGAAGCUCUCUCUGUCUCUGCAGUCUGGGACCGUUCAAAGGACAUUUUGAACUCAAGUGUCUCGGAACAGUUUGAUCCUACAUCCCCUGUGGGACCAUCUGAGCCAAGAUGCCUUAGAAAGGACAGUCUUCACACAGGGCUUGCAGCUUUGGUCCGACGAGUCAACUCGUCGGAGCAUUGAGGGCUGUUUUCAUGUUCCAAAUAUUUUAUAGUUCAUUUAAUUCCCCUAACUUUUGCUUUCUCAUUUUUAUUCUGUGCAUUUCUUGUACUUUCUUCCAUCAUAUUUAGCUAUAUAUUAGCUGAGAA